rnacentral:lncRNA from 1 species
UGAGGGUCCACCUUGCCACCUCCGUUUGCCUCAGUCCUCAUGGAGCCCUGGCUCCACUGUCUGCUGGCUUCUCCCCAUCUACUCUGUGUCACUCCAUCCGACCACCAUUGUCUCCAUCAGGACAGUUGGAACACCUCUUCUCAGCACUCUCGCCCCCACCCAGUCCACCCCCUACCUGACAGCCAGAGUGGGCCAUGCCAGAUGCAACCCAGGUCAUGCCACACAGGUAGAUAAAACCAUCUUCAGCCCAGCCCUCAGGCCCUGUGUGCUGGGACCCUGCUGGGCCCUCUCCAGCCUCCCCCUGCGCCAGGCCUCCUCCGUCACUUCACUCUGGCCCUGCUGUUCUUUUCCUUUUAGUUUGAUUAACUCACUCUGCCCAUUCCAUGCUCAAAGCUGUUUCCGUGAGGAAAGGCUCCUCCUGCUCAUUUUAGUGCCCUGAAAUGUCACUUCCUUGAGGAAGUCUUCCUUGACCCUCCACACCAAACCAGGCCCCCUGCCACACCCCUCAGAGCUCUCCUUGGAAGGCACUGGCAUGGCUGUUUGCGUGAUUCCUUGAACGUUGUCUGUCUCUCCUCCUCACCAGGCUGUGGGUCCUGUCUGUUUCUGGUGACCGUUGUCUGUCUAACCCCUAGAGGAGAGUUUGUCACAUGGUAGGAGCUUAAUAAAUAUGUGUUGGAUGAAUGAUCAGAGAAAAGAGAGUGCAGAGAGUGGCCAAAACAGAUGCUUUCAGCAGUGUAUCUGCCAAUAAACCUAAAGGCAUGAUUUGCCCUGGUGAUCCCCCCAGAGGUGCUUAGUCUCUUGGCUGAAUUCCUUCUGGAAUCCCCAGAAUCCCCCUCCUUGGAAGUUUUCCCAGGAGUCUGAGGCAGGCAGGUCUCUCAGUCACGGCCACAUGACCUCAAGUGAAAACAAACCAGUCUGGCUGUUCACAGACUCAGCUGGUCAGAGCUCUGGCCCGAGGGGCCCACGCACCACCCGCCACUGCAGAAGACGCCUCCACGUCUGUCUCUGGGCUGCCUCCACCUUCUGCAGGCCUCCUGGAGCCUCUGCUGGCUGCAGAAGUGGGGUGCAUGCUGCCUGGAGGAGGAACAUCUGUGGUGGGACCCCAAAUCCAUGUUUGUGUUACCAUCGUGUUCCAAUAAAACUAUCGAAACAGA